ACGGCCUAAUGUGGAGGAUGUUUGCAGUUCCUGGGAGCUUUGAUUGCAUAAGGAGGGGUUAUUAUUACAGCAUUAAACAUUUCCAGACAACACAGAGGACAGGGAGGCUCAUAAACUGAGCAGAUCUCUCACAGUCAUGAUGCUUGCAGGUUUCUUCUUUCUGCUCCUCGUCACAGAUGGAAGUACCAACAAUUCCUCAGAACAUCCAAAUCUUCAGAUGAACUAUGAGGACGAUGUGAAUAGUAUAGACAUGGCUGACACAAAUCAACAAU